ACGGCGAGGAACCGGAAAGAGCCCAGCUUGAAAAUCGGGCUCGCACCUCGGUUGUAGUCUGGAGAAGGUCCCUCUGCGACGCGCCGGACCCAAGUUCCCUGGAAAGGGACGUCAUCGAGGGUGACAACCCCGUCCGCGCCCGGAACGCGUCGCUCCACGAGGACCUGUCUGCGAGUCGGGCUGUUUGGGAAUGCAGCCCUAAGCGGGAGGUAAAUUCCUUCCAAGGCUAAAUAUGGGCAAGAGACCGAUAGCGAACAAGUACCGCGAGGGAAAGAUGAAAAGGACUUUGAAAAGAGAGUUAAAAAGUGCUUGAAAUUGCUGGGAGGGAAGCGAAUGGAAGCUGCGGGUGCGCCUCGGUUGGAUGUGGAACGGUUUCGGCUGGUCCGCCGCUCAACGCGAGGCGCUGGUCAGCGUGGGCCACGGCGCCGGGACAAAAUCAGGGAUUCGUUUCCUGCCUAUGCCGGUGUCGUGGCCGAGGAACGAAGCGCGCGCCUUCUGGCGUGGGUUCGCCCAACUGCGCGCUCGGGACGCUGGCGUAUUGAGCUCUUCAUCCGACCCGUCUUGAAACACGGACCAAGGAGUCUAACAUGUAUGCGAGCCGGUGGGCGGCAAACCCAUUGAGGCGCAAGUAAACUGACAGGUGGGACCCCGACCGUGAGGGAGGGAGCACCAUCGACCGACCGUGAUCUUCUGUGAAAGGUUUGAGUGUGAGCAUACCUGUUGGGACCCGAAAGAUGGUGAACUAUGCCUGAGCAGGGCGAAGCCAGAGGAAACUCUGGUGGAGGCUCGUAGCGAUACUGACGUGCAGGUCGUUCUUCAGACUUGGGUAUAGGGGC
rnacentral:rRNA from 1 species